UCCAGGACCCCACUCUCUCCUCCCCGCUCCCCCUCUCCCAACCCUAAAACUUUCCCCCCAGUCCCCCACAGCCGCCUCCCCAUCCGAAAAGACAAGGCGGCUCCCAAGCAGUGGAUCCGGCAGCGCUGGCUUCUCCUCUCCUCGCAACCGCUGUCCACCCCUCCUCAUCUCGUGAGGGCAUGGAGGGGAGCUUCUCUGGUGGCGGCGACGACCUGCAGUCAAAGGGAGACGGAGGCGGUGCUCGACUCGGUCUACAGGAGAGAGAGAGAGAGGAUGUGAGGGAGAGAGAGAAGGAAGGAGAGGAGGAUAAAGAGAGAGAGGAAAUAGGAGAGGGAGGUGUGGUGGCGGACUAGAGAGGGUGUGUGGAAGGAACGCCACCGGCUCAUCGUCGUUCACACCGCGUGGUGCUCGACUUGAUCUACAUGAGAGAGAGAGCGAGAGAGGAUGAGAGGGAGGGAGAGAAGGAAGGAGAGGAGGAUAAAGAGAAAGGAAAGAGGAGAGGGAGGUGCGGUGGCGGACAGGUAAGGGUGGGUGGAAGGAACGCCGCUGGCUUGUCGUUGUUCACACCGCGCUGGAGAAAGAGGAGAGGGAUGUGCGGGGCCAGAUGGGAGCGCCGCUGGCUCGUCAUCGUUCACACCGCACUGGGCCAGAGAUGCUUCUGUACAGCCCUCACGUCUAGUACACAAGUGGUUGCCCAUGAGGCCUCCUCCUGCUCGGCUUAUUCAUUGAGUUUGUAGAUGGAGGAUGUGAUUCCAGCAAGACAGAGACGAUGGCGAUGACAAGUGAGAUUUAUGUUAAGGAGUAUUAGCAUAUGCUCACAGGAUCACUGGAAGCUUAUAAAGGUGGAAAUUAGCAAGCAAGCUACAGUUGAUGCAUGGAUGACCAAGUUUACUUAUUACUUUAUGAAGAUGAUGAUUCCUGCAUGUUGAUUGUGCUUCAAGGUCGAAGAGGAUGGGAGGAGGGGAAGUGCGCUCUAUAUUUUGUUAUGCACACCUUUCUAAACUAUACUUGUCUUCUUAACACAUGUUCAUUGUCCAGUAGAAGCUGUAGAUUUCAGCGUACAAUAAUUUCCAAAACGGUAGAAGGUGUUACUAAUAUGGUGAGUGAUUUAAGGGGAGGCAUGGGGAGAAGAGCAGUCCAAAUGGUGGAUGGAGCAUGUGACCUGUUGAUGUUAGUUUCCAUUUUCGGAAAGAACAAAUUUUCUAUAAUUUGAGUGUAUGGUGAUGUGUUAAAGUCAAUCAUUUGGAUUCCCAACUAGACCAUUGUGUGUGUUCUUUAUUUUAUUGUGCAUUGAUAAAAUAUUUCAGUGCCCGUGUGCACCAAGUUGAAUUUUGAAACAGA